AUUCCAGCUCCAAUAGCGUAUAUUAAUGCUGCUGCGGUUGAAACGCUCGUAGUUGGACUUUGGGAUGGACGCUGUAGUCAGCCUCCGGGCUAGACUUCACUAUCUGUCCUUAUGCCGUUAGCAUCCCCCUCGGCUUCGGCUGGGGAUCCGGGGUGAUAUCGGCCGGUUACUUUGAAGAAAUUAGAGUGUUCAAAGCAGGCCAACGCCUUGAAUACAUUAGCAUGGGAUAACAGAAUAGGACUUUGGUUCUUCUUGUUGGUUUCGAGGACUAGAGUAAUGAUUAAUAGGGACAGUUGGGGUUACUCAUAUUUGGCUGUCAGAGGUGAAAUUCUUGGAUUAGCCAAAGAUGAACUACUGCGAAGGCAUUUAACAAGGAUGUUUUCAUCG
rnacentral:rRNA from 1 species